GCGUAAGCGCACGCAGGCGGUCUGUCAAGUCGGAUGUGAAAUCCCCGGGCUCAACCUGGGAACUGCAUUCGAAACUGGCAGGCUAGAGUCUUGUAGAGGGGGGUAGAAUUCCACGUGUAGCGGUGAAAUGCGUAGAGAUCUGGAGGAAUACCGGUGGCGAAGGCGGCCCCCUGGACAAAGACUGACGCUCAGGUGCGAAAGCGUGGGGAGCAAACAGGAUUAGAUACCCUGGUAGUCCACGCCGUAAACGAUGUCGACUUGGAGGUUGUGCCCUUGAGGCGUGGCUUCCGGAGCUAACGCGUUAAGUCGACCGCCUGGGGAGUACGGCCGCCACGUUAAAACUCCUAUGAAUUGACGGGGGCC
rnacentral:rRNA from 1 species